rnacentral:misc_RNA from 1 species
UGGCUCUCGCAUCGAUGAAGAACGCAGCGAAAUGCGAUAAGUAAUGUGAAUUGCAGAAUUCAGUGAAUCAUCGAAUCUUUGAACGCACCUUGCGCCCUCUGGUAUUCCGGAGGGCAUGCCUGUUUGAGUGUCAUGUAGACUCAUCCUUUCGGGUUUCCGAAAUGUGAUGGAUUUGGAGGUUUGCCUUUGAUGGCUCCUCUUAAAUGCAUGGUGUAGACGUAAUAAGUUUCGUCGUACGCACCUCUAGUCGCAAGACAAUUCUUUACUUCUGACCUCAAAUCAGGUAGGGCUACCCGCUGA